rnacentral:rRNA from 1 species
AGUGAACGCUGGCGGUAGGCCUAACACAUGCAAGUCGAACGGCAGCACAGUAAGAGCUUGCUCUUACGGGUGGCGAGUGGCGGACGGGUGAGGAAUACAUCGGAAUCUACUUUUUCGUGGGGGCUAACGUAGGGAAACUUACGCUAAUACCGCAUACGACCUACGGGUGAAAGCAGGGGAUCUUCGGACCUUGCGCGAUUGAAUGAGCCGAUGUCGGAUUAGCUAGUUGGCGGGGUAAAGGCCCACCAAGGCGACGAUCCGUAGCUGGUCUGAGAGGAUGAUCAGCCACACUGGAACUGAGACACGGUCCAGACUCCUACGGGAGGCAGCAGUGGGGAAUAUUGGACAAUGGGCGCAAGCCUGAUCCAGCCAUGCCGCGUGGGUGAAGAAGGCCUUCGGGUUGUAAAGCCCUUUUGUUGGGAAAGAAAAGCAGCAGGUUAAUACCCCGCUGUUCUGACGGUACCCAAAGAAUAAGCACCGGCUAACUUCGUG